rnacentral:rRNA from 1 species
GUGCCAGCAGCCGCGGUAAGACGAAGGGGGCUAGCGUUGUUCGGAAUUACUGGGCGUAAAGCGCGUGCAGGCGGUUGCCUAAGUCGGGUGUGAAAGCCUUGAGCUCAACUCAAGAAUUGCGCUCGAUACUGGGUGACUAGAGGACCGGAGAGGAUAGUGGAAUUCCCAGUGUAGUGGUGAAAUACGUAGAGAUUGGGAAGAACACCAGUGGCGAAGGCGGCUAUCUGGACGGUUUCUGACGCUAAGACGCGAAAGCGUGGGGAGCAAACAGGAUUAGAAACCCGCGUAGUCC